GUGGGGAAUUUUGGACAAUGGGCGAAAGCCUGAUCCAGCCAUUCCGCGUGCAGGAUGAAGGCCCUCGGGUUGUAAACUGCUUUUGUACGGAACGAAACGGUCCUGGCUAAUAUCCGGGGCUAAUGACGGUACCGUAAGAAUAAGCACCGGCUAACUACGUGCCAGCAGCCGCGGUAAUACGUAGGGUGCGAGCGUUAAUCGGAAUUACUGGGCGUAAAGCGUGCGCAGGCGGUGCUGUAAGACAGGCGUGAAAUCCCCGGGCUCAACCUGGGAAUUGCGCUUGUGACUGCAGUGCUGGAGUGCGGCAGAGGGGGAUGGCAUUCCGCGUGUAGCAGUGAAAUGCGUAGAUAUGCGGAGGAACACCGAUGGCGAAGGCAAUCCCCUGGGCCUGCACUGACGCUCAUGCACGAAAGCGUGGGGAGCAAACAGGAUUAGAAACCCCGGUAGUCC
rnacentral:rRNA from 1 species